GGGGCAUACNAAGAACUUGACAGAAGAGAGUGAGCACACAGAGGUAAUUGUAUAGAGGCUAUACCUUUACUUUUGCGUGCUCAUUUCUCUUUCCGUCAAGCUUCCGUUGCC
rnacentral:miRNA from 1 species